CUUCAGCAACUUGGACAUCCUGUUUGUCAAUUUAAGCCAAAUUUGGACAUAUCCAAUUUUUAAAGUGCUGUCUAAAGCUGCUUGAGAUCGGAUGCCUGCUUUGAAAAUUAGAAACUUUCUGACAUAUUUUUUUCCAAAACUGAAACUAAAGAUGUAGUUCCUUUAAUGUAUUUAUGACAAAGAGGUUGACCAGUUCCUGAAAGCAGUAGUCUUGUGUAAAUACUCCCUAUUCAUCCUUUUGUGUCCAUCCAACAACUGUCAACCACCACAAGGCUAUAUCCAAAGUACAUUCUAACAGCCAGUUAUUGUGUCUCUAAAAUCCCUCUUUCAUCCACACUGCCUAGACCGACUGAUAGCUCAGCCUGCUUGUCAUGCCUAUCGACACGUCUGCUUUGUUGGUGUCAGCACAGACAUCCCUGCGUGAUAUAUUUUUUCAGCCCUGGACGCAUGUUUGCGCACACGGCGACCCAGUUUUUCCAUUGUGCGAUAUGAAUACAUAUUUGUGCGGCUAACCACAACGAUUAUACUGCAAUUUUACGAGUUCGUGAUCGUGAAUGAAAAAUAGUUUGCCACUGUAUUUGCGCUUUAUGCCCAGGGUACGGAGAGAGAUAUGCCAUCAGUCAUCGAUGUGCUUCUCACAAAUGACGAAGCAGAAAUCAGAUGCUGAAUCUUGUGUUUUACAUCCACGCCAAACCCCACAGCAGAACCAGUAACGGAACGCAGACAACAUGACCCAGCCAGGCACCAAUCACCACAGGCCCACCAAUCACAAUCGAUCGAAGACGGCCCCUGCCGGGGGCGGGGUCAGACCAAGGAAGAACGGUUUUCAUCAUCAUCAUAACCAGGAGAAAGUCGACGCUCAGAACAACGUCUUAAAGAAGCCAGAGGAUGCAUCAAAUACGGAUUGGGACAUCAAUAUUCCCAUCCCAAAACUCUCAGUGAGAAACUCCUCUUUCUUGGUCGCCAGCUUGUCUCUCCUCUGCUAUUUGAACAGUUGCUAUGGUGAUUUUGUCUUCGACGAUACGGAGGCGGUGCUUAGCAACAAAGAUGUCAAGCCGGAGACACCGAUCAUUGAGGUACUCCAGGAUGACUUUUGGGGGGAGAGGAUCACGAAGAACCACAGUCAUAAAUCCUACAGACCUUUGACUGUGUUGUCCUUUAGGUUGAAUUACAUCCUGAGCGGCGGCUUUCACCCAUUCAGCUUUCAUCUCACGAACGUCGUCUUACAUACCAUCAUUAGCGUCUUCUCGCUUCGCAUCUUUUCCAUCCUCCUCAGCGAUUUGUCUUGUCUUCAUCGUCGUCUGGAAGCGGAGAAGUUUCGUCGUAAGACCUUUCCGGCGCCCAGAGCUAGCUUACUGUGUGCUCUGCUGUUCACUGCACAUCCCAUACACACGGAAAGCGUGGCUGGAGUUGUCGGUAGAGCAGAUCUCUUGUCGGCUGCAUUCUUCUUUCUGUCAUUUUUCUUCUACGUUUCUGCAUUACAAAAAGAUGGUGGCCAUUUUCUCCUCAGCUUGUUGUAUUCGAUAUUGUGCUGUACUGCCUCAAUGCUGUGCAAAGAACAGGGCAUUACUGUCAUUGGCGUCUGUAUAGUGUACGAUGUCAUCCUCAAUUGUCAAGUGGACAUGCUCCGAAUCUUCCAGCGUUCUCAGAUCCCAACCAAAUCCCAGGGUUCCAGUCAUCCAAGAUGGCUGCCCAGCCUAGCAACCAGACUGAGCAUUAUGACCUUGUGCGCUGUAGUUUUAUUGGCCGGGAGGUUUUUCAUAAUGGGAAGCGGACCGCCGCCGUUUCAACCAUCGGACAACCCCGCGUCAUUCGCUGAUGGAAUUCUUACCCGGGUAACAAACUAUAACUUCAUUUACGCCCUGAAUCUGUGGUUGCUAAUCUUCCCCCGCUGGCUGUGCUUUGAUUGGUCGAUGGGCUGUGUGUCGUUGAUACAAUCAGCCAAUGACAUCAGGCUGCUUGCCCCUGUUGCACUGUGGGUACUUUUGGGGGGUCUGAUCUACAGGAGCGUGGUAGGCCCACCCAGCCACGGUAAAAGGGUCUUAACGAUGGCCUUGGCCCUCCUCAUCAUUCCGUUUCUCCCUGCAUCCAAUCUCUUUCUACGCGUCGGCUUCGUGAUCGCUGAGCGAGUCUUGUAUCUACCCAGUCUUGGCUUCUGUAUGUUACUGACGCUUAUGGUUGAUGCGGUCUCGCGUAGUUCGGUAUCCAAGAAGGCUGUGCAAUGUCUACUAGUGAUUUUAUUGGCUUACUACGUCGGUAGAUGCAUCCAACGUAAUCAAGAUUGGAUGACAGAGGAGAGGUUGUAUAAGGCUGGCUUAGACGUAUGUCCACGCAACGCUAAGGUCCAUUAUAACAUUGGUAAGAAUGCAGCUGAUAGUGGGAGUCUGGAUGAAGCAGUUACUUACUACAGACAAGCACUGAGUUUGAAUCCUGUCUAUGAUCAAGCCAUGAACAAUCUUGCCAACCUUCUCAAGGACCAGGGACAUCUUACUGAGGCAGAGGAGUUGCUCCACAAGGCCGUACAAAUCAAGCCUCAGUUUGCAGCAGCCUGGAUGAAUCUGGGCAUCGUCCAAGCCGCGAACAAGAAGUACACGGAGGCAGAACAGAGUUACAAGAUGGCUCUGUCUCAUCGCCAUAGAUACGCUGACUGUUACUUCAACCUGGGUAACAUGGUCAGUAUGAGACGGCCAUUUUGGUUGCUAAGGAGGCUAUGAAGCAUGUACCACAGGAACCAUCCAUCUAUUUUGGUCUGGGAAACGUACUUGGCAAAGAGGGACGAUAUCAGGAAGCCGAGGAGAACUUUCUUCAAGCCAUUCAGCUGAACCCCAAAAUGGCCAAUUACCAUGGCAACCUGGGUGUUUUGUAUCAUCGCUGGGGGAAGUACAGCAAAGCCAAGAAGCAUUACACAUCGGCG
rnacentral:misc_RNA from 1 species